rnacentral:tRNA from 2 species
GCCCGGCUGGCUCAAUGGUAGAGCGUUGGACUUCUAAUAUCCCCUUGCUUCAGCAAUGAGCAAGUGGUGAGGGAGCCUAUCCAAAGGCUGCGGGUUCGAGUCCCGCGUUGGGUG